GUCAGCAUGGCAUAGUGGUCUGAGCACUGGACUACGAUUCUGGAGAGCAGGGUUCGAAUCCCAGCUUGGCCA
rnacentral:tRNA from 1 species